rnacentral:rRNA from 1 species
GAUAAACGCUGGCGGCGUGCUUCAGGCAUGCAGGUCGAACGGACCUUCGGGUCAGUGGCGGACGGGUGAGUAACACGUAAGCAACCUGCCCAGAAGUGGGGAAUAACCCACCGAAAGGUGAGCUAAUACCGCAUGUGAUGUGUCCUCCCUGGAGGGCCCAUUAAAGGCUUUGGUCGCUUCUGGAGGGGCUUGCGUUCGAUUAGCUAGUUGGUGGGGUAAUGGCCUACCAAGGCUGCGAUCGAUAGCUGGUCUGAGAGGACGGACAGCCACACGGGGACUGAGAUACGGCACCGACUCCUACGGGAGGCAGCAGCUAGGAAUCUUGAGAAUGGGCGAAAGCCUGACCCAGCAACGCCGCGUGGGCGAUGAAGGCCUUCGGGUCGUAAAGCCCUUUUGAGGGGGACGAUGAUGACGGUACCCCUCGAAUAAGCCACGGCUAACUACGUGCCAGCCGCCGCAGUAA